rnacentral:rRNA from 1 species
ACGGAGGAAGGUGGGGAGAGUCAAAUCAUCAUGCCCCUUAUGACUGGGCUACACACGUGUUACAAUGGACAGAACAAAGGGCAGCGAAACCGCGAGGUUAAGCCAAUCCCACAAAUCUGUUCUCAGUUCGGAUCGCACUCUGCAACUCGACUGCGUGAAGCUGGAAUCGCUAGUAAUCGCGGAUCAGCAUGCCGCGGUGAAUACGUUCCCGGGCCUUGUACACACCGCCCGUCACACCACGAGAGUUUGUAACACCCGAAGUCGGUGAGGUAACCUUUUAGGAGCCAGCCGCCGAAGGUGGGACAGAUGUUGGGGUG